rnacentral:pre_miRNA from 1 species
UACGUAUGUAUGUAUGUAUGUAUGUAUGUAUGUAUGUAUGUUUUAUAUACAUACGUACAUACAUACAUACACACACGUAUCUAUCUA